GAUGAACGCUAGCUACAGGCUUAACACAUGCAAGUCGCGGGGCAGCAUGGGGGUUGCUUGCAAUCCCCGAUGGCGACCGGCGCACGGGUGAGUUACGCGUAUCCAACCUGCCCUUCACCACGGGAUAACCCGGCGAAAGUCGGACUAAUACCGUAUGUUGUCCAUUGACGGCAUCCGAUUUGGACGAAAGGUUUGGCGGUGAAGGAUGGGGAUGCGUCCGAUUAGCUGGACGGCGGGGUGACGGCCCACCGUGGCGACGCGCGGUAGGGGAUCUGAGAGGAAGGUCCCCCACACUGGAGCUGCGACACAGACCAGACUGGUACGGGGGGGAGGAGUGUGGAAUAUUAGUCAAUGGGCGUAAGCCGAACCCAGCCACGUAGCGGACGAAGUGCCGGCCAUAUGAGUUGUAAACUGCUUUUAUGCGGGGAUAAAGUAGGCCACGUGUGAGUUUUUGCAGGUACCGCAUGAGUAAGGACCGGCUAAUUCCGUG
rnacentral:rRNA from 1 species